CCUACGUGAGGCAGCAGUGGGGAAUAUUGGGCAAUGGGCGCAAGCCUGACCCAGCAACGCCGCGUGAAGGAAGAAGGCCCUCGGGUUGUAAACUUCUUUUAUUCGGGACGAAACAAAUGACGGUACCGAAUGAAUAAGCCACGGCUAACUACGUGCCAGCAGCCGCGGUAAUACGUAGGUGGCAAGCGUUAUCCGGAUUUACUGGGUGUAAAGGGCGUGUAGGCGGGAGAGCAAGUCAGACGUGAAAUUCCAGGGCUCAACCCUGGAACUGCGUUUGAAACUGUUCUUCUUGAGUGAUGGAGAGGCAGGCGGAAUUCCGUGUGUAGCGGUGAAAUGCGUAGAUAUACGGAGGAACACCAGUGGCGAAGGCAGCCUGCCGCAGCGUUACUGACGCUGAAGCUCGAAAGCGCGGGUAUCGAACAGGAUUAGAUACCCGAGUAGUC
rnacentral:rRNA from 1 species